rnacentral:rRNA from 1 species
UACGGGGGGGGCAAGCGUUGUUCGGAAUUACUGGGCGUAAAGGGCUCGUAGGUGGCCAACUAAGUCAGACGUGAAAUCCCUCGGCUUAACCGGGGAACUGCGUCUGAUACUGGAUGGCUUGAGUUCGGGAGAGGGAUGCGGAAUUCCAGGUGUAGCGGUGAAAUGCGUAGAUAUCUGGAGGAACACCCGUAGCGAAGGCGGCACCUCUGGGCCGUGACUGACGCUGAGGAGCGAAAGCGUGGGGAGCAAACAGG